CUGUUUAGGUGUCAAUAAAUUUCAAAUCAAGAAUAAUUUAGUUAUUUUAGUUUAGUGGAGCAUUACUAAUUAGCUACGUGCCUUUUACUCCUACAGCCACCUAUCUCUUCCCUGCAAUUGAACAGCGAACUCAUCCCUUUCACUCCCAACCCUAACAAAACCAAUAUAUUUUUGGGUCUAUUCCUGGGUGGAAGCAAAGCAAGAAAACUAAAAAAGUCACCAAUCAAAGUUCGAUUUUCAAUGAAAAUGACGAUUUGAAAGCAGAAAAUUUCAACACCGAGAACGGAACUUUUCAGAGGGAAUGAUAGUUUCUUUUGAGAAAGGUAAAUCAGUGGUAAGUAUUUUUUAUGGGAUGAUUUGAGCGAAUAUGUUAAGAUAUUAAAUACCUAAUAGUUGAAAAACAUACGCUAAAUCUUUUUUCUUUAUGACUUGCUAUACAUAGCUUGAAAGAGAAGCAGUUCUUGUAUUAUAUUGUUGCUAAUGGGCUAAAUAGAUGUCGACAAGUAUUGACAAAAGCAAAUGAUUAGUUCCCUGCAUCUCACGCUCCAUGAAUAGUCGGGAUACUGAGAAAUAUCCAAAAAGUUAUUUCGGGAAUCUGCUUUUUGUAGCUUGCUGAGCCUUUUUUGGUCCUAUAAAAUAGAACAAUACCGAGCAUAACUGCAUUUCUGUGAUGGCACAAUCAUAUAAUCAAAUUGACGGCUUCCAUUCAACAGGAUGAUAAAAGAAGAAUGUUUGGCUUCCAUUCGUGUAAGAAUGUUAUAUCUGUCAUCAUCAUUCAUCACGAUUGUUAGGGCAGCAGUGCUUAAGCAUAUCUUUUAUAUUAUUAUUAUUAUUAU